CCUACGGGAGGCAGCAGUGAGGAAUAUUGGUCAAUGGACGAGAGUCUGAACCAGCCAAGUAGCGUGAAGGAUGACUGCCCUAUGGUUUGUAAACUUCUUUUAUAUGGGAAUAAAAUGUUCCACGUGUGGGAUUUUGUAUGUACCAUAUGAAUAAGGAUCGGCUAACUCCGUGCCAGCAGCCGCGGUAAUACGGAGGAUCCGAGCGUUAUCCGGAUUUAUUGGGUUUAAAGGGAGCGUAGGUGGAUUGUUAAGUCAGUUGUGAAAUUUUGCGGCUCAACCGUAAAAUUGCAGUUGAAACUGGCAGUCUUGAGUACAGUAGAGGUGGGCGGAAUUCGUGGUGUAGCGGUGAAAUGCUUAGAUAUCACGAAGAACUCCGAUUGCGAAGGCAGCUCACUGGACUGCAACUGACACUGAGGCUCGAAAGUGUGGGUAUCAAACAGGAUUAGAUACCCUUGUAGUC
rnacentral:rRNA from 1 species